UGGUUCCGGGGAAAGCCUACCAUGAA
rnacentral:piRNA from 1 species